GUGGUUUGGUGUAGUGGUUUGCACAUUGGACUAGGACACCAGGAGACCAGGGAUCAAAUCCCUGCUCAGCCAUA